rnacentral:misc_RNA from 1 species
CUGUUCAAGCGUCAUUACAACCCUCAAGCUCUGCUUGGUAUUAAGCCUCACCUGUAAUGGCGGGCUAUAAAAUCAACGGCGGUGCAUCUGGCUUCAAGCGUAGUAAUUUUCUCGCUUUGGAGACCUGCUGUGUACCUGCUAAACCCCAUUUACUUUAAAAGGUUGACCUCGGAUCAGGUAGGGAUACCCGCUGAACUUAA